rnacentral:rRNA from 1 species
GAUGAACGCUGGCGGCGUGCCUAAUACAUGCAAGUCGAGCGAACAGACGAGGAGCUUGCUCCUCUGACGUUAGCGGCGGACGGGUGAGUAACACGUGGAUAACCUAUCUAUAAGACUGGGAUAACUUCGGGAAACCGUAGCUAAUACCGGAUAAUAUAUUGAACCGCAUGGUUCAAUAGUGAAAGACGGUUUUGCUGUCACUUAUAGAUGUAUCCGCGCCGCAUUAGCUAGUUGGUAAGGUAAAGGCUUACCAAGGCGACGAUGCGUAGCCGACCUGAGAGGAUGCUCGCCCCCACCAGAAGUGAGACAGCUUCCAGACUCCAACCGGAGGCAAGACUCUGGUAUCGUCUGCAGUAGGCGGUACACUGCCCGAACGACGCCGCGUGAGCGAUGAGGGGCUUCUCUUCGUAGUACUAAUUGAUUACGGCAGGACACAUGUGCAAGUAUAUAUGCCCGCCUUGACGGUACCGAUUCAAAAAGCCACGGCUAACUACGUG